rnacentral:lncRNA from 1 species
AAGGAAACUCUUGUUUAGCAUUAGCAAGUAACAAAUCAUAAUUAGUAUGUGCCUCAGAAAAUGACUCCUGCAACACUUGAAAAAACUAGAGUGUUUAUUUCCUACAUUUAAGUCCAAACUCAAACUGGCAAACUGUGUUGAUAAAUUAACGGAGAGACGUUUCCACUGAGAAUAAAUUAAAGGCAACCCUGGAAAUAUUCCUUUUUAGGUUCUUCCACAUCAAACAAUAGCAUAUAACAAUGUAUUAGACUAUGCCUCUUGCUCAGUUGUUUCAAAUUUACACACAUUGGGUGAGGCUGUGAAUGCCGAUAACAAUAAAACAAGCCUCUGCUUUUCAAGCAUUUAAAAUUUUUCUCAAUCUCAGUUAAUAACCUCAAACAGUGAGUGAGAAUAAACUAGUGUUUAUGUGCAUAUAUGAAAAUUAGGUUUUUCAGACUUGUGGCCGCCAAGGGAGAGGGAGUGGGGUGGACUGGGAAUCUGCGGUUAGUAGACACAAACCACUACAUUUAGAAUGGAUAAGCAGUGAAGUCCUACUGUACAGCCCAGGGAACUAUACACAAUCUCUGGGGAUGGAACGUGACGGAAGAUGGAAUGAGAAGAGGAACGUGUAUGUGUGUGUGUGCGUGUAUGGGACAGGUCGCUUUGCUGUACAGCAGAAAUUGGCACAUCAUAAAUCGACUACACCUUAAUAAAAAAGAAAACUAUGUGCUUCUAUUUACAGAGUUGUGUUAACACUCUGCACAUACUCAGACUAGGCUUUACUGCUUCUUCUAUGAUUCGGAAGAUGAAGUUGAUGAACAGUAAGGUUGGAAUAGCUGGCAGGUGUAGAUUCCACAUGCUGCUAUAUUUACUUACAUAAUUUUCCCUUUUUCUUGGUUGCUAUUCUCUCCUUAAAAGAGGAGGAACGAGCAGGAUCAUGAGUGUCUAAGUCUGGUUCACACUUGAGAGUUUCGCCUCCACCUUCCAAAGGAGAGCAACUCACGUGGUGCAACGUUCAUCAAAAUGUGAGUUCGCUAAUGUUUUUCUCUUCCUUCAGCAAUUUUCCUCAUUCCUAAAAAGUACCUCCUAGAGUGAAAUAACACUUGAAAUGAGCAUGCCUGUUUAUGUGUUAAAGACAGAUGGAGGAGAAAGAAAAGGGAUAAUUAAAAGGAGACGAGAUGGAAAAUAUAUUGACAUUUAAAUGUUCUUUCCACUCAAACGUUCAUCCUCCAUUCCUUUCCUUUGCGCUAAGAUGAAGGAAGCAGUGGGGACAUUCCUUGUUCUAGUUCAUAUCUGGUACCUCCCAUCAGCUCACUGUCAGGUUAAUAAUCUGCCUCUCCAACAGGGGAAUAAGAAAAAAAUAGGAUGAUGACCAGAGAAGGACGGGGGAAAGUGAAGGACAGAAGAGGAGAGUUAGUGCUGACUUGGGCUUCUCAUGGAAGGACCAGAGAGGACUUAUUUAAUUCCGUCAUUUAUCAUCCUAUGUAGGUAUAGACAUUCUAUUACCAGAGCCUCCAUCAGCCGUGUGGCUGCUGAUGGGGGGGGGGUGUACCAUAUACAGCACAUCAUGGAUCUAUGACCUGAAAGAGAGACAUAGAGGAAGAUGAUGAUGAUGAUGGACAGAACUAUAGAUGGGAUAUUGAGGGGGAUACAGAUAGAAAAAUAAGAGGGACUUAUGAAAAGGACCAAAGAAUUUGAAUAAGAGGAAAACCUAUCAAGGAGAUCCUGCAAUGAGAUUCGAAAAUAAGGACAAUCAUCUGAAUUUAAUAGCAAGGUAAGUUUUUAAUCUUUUACUUUUGUGCACAUUUUUUAAGUUUGUAGCCAAAGGAAGGAAGAACAGUGUAUAGAACAGUGUAUAGAGAUGCACUGGGAAUAUUAUGAGCCAGACGUGUGUGUGUGUGUAUCUGAUAUGAGACUGUAUUUUUAUGAAAAAUGUAUAGUUCAGGCCAAGGUCAUGGUCUAUUGCUGCAAAUCACGUUGUGUCCUAAACAUACACUGAAAGGAUAGAUUAGCCAGUUGUUUUUUUCUAUUCCAUAAAUUGCUUCAUGGGAUCCAAGAAUCUAACUGAAAGUCAUGCAAGAACUGUCUGUUCAAGGUCUAUUCCAUCCAUUUCCUCCUGUGUCCUAUUCCACGGGCACAUGCAACCUGCUGUCUUCUUUCACACUGUCUACUUUAGGAUAUGUGGGCAAGAAACCCUGUAGUUUGAAGGCCAGUCGUUCAAAAUUCCAAGAUUUGCGAGUUGCAAUCAGAUUCUGUCCCCACAAAGACAUUCUGACCCUGAGUCGUAAGUUCUCUGCCCACUCGCGUCGACGGCACACGAGGACCGCGCUCAUCAUUCCUUGAUACGGUUGAGAACAAAAUGCAGGCGGCAAAGAAAAAUUCUCCUCACCCUCCAAAGUCACUCCCCCUAGACCUCUGACCACCCUGACUCUGCUGGGUCAGGCCACCUGCCCCGUAUCUCUCUCUGCCCAUCACUCCUGACAGCACAGCACAGCCAGACGGGUUCCCCUGUGCAGUGCGUCUCGAGAUUUCGGUGAUGGAUCAGCACCUCACUCCACUGGCGAUGACUACGUGUACAACGAUUAUAUUCACCAGCCAGAAAGUGGAAACCAAGCAGGGUCAGGGCAGGACCAGGCUAAAGUCCUCUUCCCUCAUCUCAUUCCUCAACCCUCUUACCAUAAACCAGGUGUUUUGAAAGACCAGACACAAAAAGGCCAGUUGGUAACCCACUCUUGCAGCUUACCAGGAAGAACAAUGCGCCUGAUGAAAUUAUAUUAUUGGAACCACUGGAGGUCUCUUUGCCAGAAUUACAGGCUAAAGCCACCAUUCCGAAAAAAUCUAAAAGGUGGUGGGGGUGGUGAGAUAAGGUGGGGGAGGAGAGAGAGAAUGGGGGUGGAGAGGGAGGGUGGCGGAGGCGAGGGAGGGAGGGGAGAGAGGGGGAGAGAGAGUGGGGGUGGAGAGGGAGGGGGGGGGAGGCGAGGGAGGGAGAGGAGAGAGGGUGGGGGUGGGGAGAGCUUGGGGGUGGGGAGAGAAGGGAGGAGAGGGGAGGGGAGGGAGGGGAGGGGAGAGAGAAGGUCCAAGAGGUGAGAGAACUUGGGGGUGUGAAUGUGAGAGGGAGACUGGAACCCAAGAAGCAGCUUUUCCACCUCUGCUCACUUCCCCUGCCCUCCCCUCCCAUCUGGAAGCCAGAACCAGGGCCCCGACAGAGCUGCUGAGGGACACGGGGCAGGAGCAGCUGGUGCGACCCUCCAUCCCACAGCUGUGAUACCAGCAAUUUCCUCUCCAACGACAGGCUCACUGACUCAAGCACGUUGUAUUCUCGGUACCAUGUCAUGUUUCCCUCAUGAAGUGUUCUAUUCCCUUUAAAGUUAAAUACAUUCAAACGUCCUAUUCUUCCAGUAUCCCCACUUGGGUCUCAUCAGUAGGUCCCUUCUAAGACUCACUUGAAAUGUCAUCAGGAAGUAGGGUUAUCCAGAGAUUUCCCUGGCCAAGCACUCAAUGAAGAGAUUUCCCCUGCGCGUGAGACUGCAGAAUUUCACUCAGGUGUCUCCAGAGUGCCCACUCUCAUACAAACACACACCCACGGGUACAGCCCUUUCUAUCAGCUGGAGACCAAAUCACACCCGUAUUCGCUUCCUUGUGUGUAAGAUGCACUGUGCUGGAUUAUACGGGUAUUGAAAUGAGCAAGAAAGAGACACAGCUCUCACAGGCUAUACAUCAUGAUUUACGUCGUUGGUCCUUUUGGUGUUGGCCGUCCAGGUCACUGCUAAGAGACUGAGCUCUGGAGUCUAGGCACACCACCUCCAGUGUCUCCUUCCUCUAAAGAGACUUGGGCAGGCAUGGCACCUACCUUGAGCCAGUUUUCCCUAAUCUGUGAAUUGAGGAGCAUGGCACCACCCAUCUCACAGGGUGAUGGUGAGAGUCAGAUGGGAUGAUGGGUAUGUAUAAAUGCUUGUCAGGGAUUCUGUCAAGUAAGUCCUUAAAAAGGUGAAUGGGCUGAACAUAUAUUUUUUUGUGGAAAGAGCAAGAACUGUGCCACUGAGUAGCCCUGACUUCAACCCCAGCUCCAGCACCGACCUGUUAAAUGACCUUGAGCACGUUGCUUAGGGCUUCUCUAGACCUGCCUCCUUCUGUCUACAACUGGCCUGUCCACAGGGAUGAUGGAAAGAUGGGACAUGAAGCAGUUCCCGUCAUGGCGCAGUGGUUAACGAAUCCGACUAGGAACCAGGAGGUGUAGGUUCGAUCCCUGCCCUUGCUCAGUGGGUUAACAAUCCGGCGUUGCCAUGAGCUGUGGUGUAGGUCACAGAUGAGGCUUGGAUCUGGUGAUGCUGUGGCUCUGGUGUAGGCCAGUGGCUACAGCUUUGAUUAGACCCCUAGCCUGGGAAUCUCCGUGUGCUGCAGGUGUGGCCCUAGAAAAAGACAAAAAAAAAAAAAAAAAAAAAAAA